UCUGUGGCAUUUUCUUUCUCUCUUCUGAUUGGCUAGUCAGCGUUCUAUGGCUAUACGCGGCUGGAGCUGAAAAUAGUCGUCCUUAACUUCCUUAACUUUUCCCAUUCAUUCUCUAUGGUAGUUCUUAUCACUACGGAUGUAAUAUCUUUCCGGCCACAAGCGGGAUUUUGGUGUCGCUGUUUCCCCCCUCGGCAGAAGUAAGGAGAUGAUUUAUUCUCUGAGUGACAGACAGCGGAGCGUCGAAAGGAGACCACAAACACGUUUUCGGAGGGAGAUGACAAUUAUUUUCAUCCGUCGACAAAUUAACUUUUCAAUUUGAAAAGAAAUCAUGAAUACCAUCAGCCUCUUUCCCGGAAAGAUGACGGUGACAUUUAGGAAGGGACCAUCGGGUCAUCUGCGGCAGGACCCAUCCUCUGAGGCCACGAGGAUAAAACACAAUCCUGGGCUUCAGGUCAAGAUUCCCAGAAACAUGACCUAGUGAAGACCAGUGCUCGCACUGUGGUCUUCCAGCGAGGAGGGGAUGUGUCGGACCGACAGGAGGUGAUGGGAGAGUACCUGCUGCAGUUCGGAAAGUACCAGAGAAAAUCUUUCAAGUGGCUCCUAGAGAACGAUGUUGGCUACACCAUGUACCUUAUGAAAAAGGUAGAUGAGGAGGAGAGAGCCGGGACCUUCAACCCAAAGGGACACAGUAGGGUUAGGGUUCGGGUCACAAUCCUGGAUGAGCAAGAAAGGAGAGCAGAGAUAGAGAGGUGGAAGAGAAGAGAGGAAGGAGAAAGGAGAAACUAAGAUGAGAGAUGGAAAGGAGAGGAGAGCUGACAAGACAAAGUCACGGGUACUCACACACAAGUCUUUAGCUUUGUGCAAGGUAUAACACAUUUGGGUUGUCGCAUGGUGGAAAUUAAAAGUAAUUGACUGGCUCAUCAGCUACAGAAUUGCCUAAUUAUUCUGUGCUUUGAAUCAUUCCUUGAAUCCCAUCAUUUUUAAAAGGGUUUUC
ensembl:lncRNA